GGUUGUUAGGGUAGCCAUCUGUUUGGUUAUUUUCGGUGGGGUUUACUCAUUUGUUUGUGAGAGCCUUUGGUAGAGGGAGAGAGGGAGAGAGGAAGGAUCUUUGAUUUGAUCUUUUUGCCAUCCUAAUUUUGAUUGUGCUUAGGAGUGGCUUGUAACCGAACAUGGUGAAGUAAUGCAAAGAUCAAUUUCGUUCCAUCUUGUUCCAUCCUCUUUGAAUAUGAAAUUUAUCUUUUUUGGUAUUUUUGGAGGUAUUUUUGGGAUUUUUCGUCUUUGCGAUUGGCAGCGAUUUGGGGUAUUUU
rnacentral:lncRNA from 1 species